rnacentral:lncRNA from 1 species
GGAUUCUUGCAAGUAUCGUGCGUGCCCUUGUGAGUUUGGAGGGUGCCGGUCAACGAAGCCACGCGAGGUAUUUGAAAGGCAAUCAGCCCGACCGUCCCCCUAGAUUCAUCGGAGAAGGAACUCAGUGAAUAUUGCCCUGGGUCCUGGUAAUUCCACCUACUGAAGACAACUGCCCCUUCUGCUCAUAUUUCCUGAGUCAACAUGGCCGUUCCUAACUUUGAAGAGACUUUAGACAUUCUUUGUUACAAUGAACCUAGAAGAAAGAAGAGAAAUAUUACAGCGACUGUGCCCGGGACUGUAAGGCGGAUAAGACCCAGCAGCAAAAAGAACAUUUGGAAUGUUUAAAUUAGGGCUUCGUUGGAGUUCCACAUAUGGAAGAUGUGAAGAGCGCAAAUGUGGCAUUCAACGCAUUGAUCCAACAUUAACACAUUCCUUAACCACGCCCACCCACGACAGGAAAAAAUAACUGCCAUGGAAGGAUGCUCCUCCUGCCAAUUGGCACUUAUCAAUGACAUCGAGGGAGAGGGACAGAGUGCCUAGGUAUGAGCCUUCAUCAAGUGGUAUGAAGGCCCUACCCCAACAGAAAGUGCUGAUGUGAUGAAAUGGUGCUUUGGACAAGACUUUUCCUCCAAGUUGGUCCUAUCCAGGGGUUGGCAAACAGGGUCCCUGGACAUCAUCCAUGUGGCAUACUCUUAUGAAUAAAGUUCUAUAGGACACA